CCCACUCACCCACUAUUGUCACCCUCGCCGGUUACUCAUUUAUCCCCACCGCAUUCGACUGCGCGCUGCCUCUCUCGUGGCGGCAGUUGGGUCGUUGGGAGGCUAUUCAGCGGCAACUUCUCGGCGAAACCGCGGCGGAAGUGUCAUGGAGGUCGGUCCCCAUCGUCGGGAGUCCCCACUCAACCGAUCCACCUUGUCGACUCCGAAGCCGCGUUGAGCAACAUGGUUCGCAACCACCAGGAAGCUGAAGACGAUGACUUGAUGCCUCCACCACAGAAUGAUAAGUUGAAUUUGCUCCCUCAGGGAUUUUGGUAAUUCAUGACAACAUACAUGUUGUUGGACUAACAUUUUCAUCUAGUAUAUCUCAGGAGAAGUUCAAUGUUGGCACGACAAGGAUUUGUGGAUGUGGACCCUUCAAAAUGCUAUGGAAACAUAUUGACAUAAAGCUCUAAGACUCUUCAUUUUUGGUUAAGUGAUCCAAGAUUACAUUGAGUCCAUAGGAAAGCCAAUACUAUUAAGUGGGGAUGAGGUUUUGAUCAUGACUUAGUUGCUCAAGUGCUUGAAGAUAUUGCUCCAAAACCCUCAACCACUUUCCCACAAUCAAAUCCGUCCAAACCCUAAUUAUCAAACUCGUUCAUACACAUCUGGGCCCAUCGAGUUGAACCUAGACAGAGCCACAGCCAAACCGUAGAAACUAGGUUCCACCGAGAUGACAUUCUGUAACAUCCCAAAUUUUCAAUUUGGAAUGUUAUACAUAGGUCAUUCAUGCAUAUCAUAUUUUAUUGCAUUUCGUUUUGUGAUCCUCGAAAUCCUAAGCAACUCAAGGACAUUCGGAGAUAGUUGGGGAUUUUCCCUCGUUCUCAUAUUUGAGUUUUAUCAAAUAUUGAAACAAGGAUCACUUUGGUUUUAAUUAUUUUUUCUCCCCAAAAAUAUUUCAUAUUAAAAUUAUAUGAGAGGAGAUAAUAUGACUUCUCCAAAAUAAAUGAAAUGUUGGAGGAAAAAUAUUUGUAUUUUUAUUUGGGGUUUUAUCGCUAUUUUAUUUGAAUUGGAAAAAAUAUGUGUUUUUCAAAAUUGCAUUAGAGGACCAAAUAAACGUUCACCUUGUCCGCCAUAUUUUUAGAGGACGGGGAAAAUUUAUUUCAGGAUUUUUGAAGUCCGUUUAGUAUUUCUUUUCUUCGUUUUUCUGCGCGUCAGAUUUGUUUUUUUUAAUGAACCGCCUUACCGGGCCAUGUCCGCCUGGGACACCGACCCGGUCGGCCUCUUAAAAGGCCGAGGCCCGAGCCGCGAGCCCCGCCCAGAUCCGCCGAACCCUAGCCGAGACCUGCCAGCGCCGUCGUCGUCGGACGCCGCCGCCGCCCCACCGCCGAACGCCGCCGCCGCCGGAGUACGCCGCCGUCGCCGUCCCGUUCUACGAGAACACCCGGAGUGCGAAGCGUGCUACUGCGAGUCUUUAGGAUUUGCAGAUCGUCAGC